GCCUUCUUGUGGCUCCGUUGGUAGAGUACUGCACUAACAAUGCUAAGGUCGUGGGUUCAAAUCCCAGGGAAAGCA